UAUCCAAGGUUUCCAGAGUAAAGCUGAUCUGCUCUGGGUAAGUCGGGGCCUAAGGCGAGGCUGAGAGGCGUAGUCGAUGGACAACAGGUUGAAAUUCCUGUACCAUGUAUCAUCAGAACUGUGGGGACACAGAAGGACAACACAUCCCGGGAAUGGGAAUACCGGGGCAAGCGAGGUAGGAGUACGGUUGGCAAAUCCGCCGUGCAAUCCGAAGACGUGACGCGCAGCGAACUAAAGUAGCGAAGUGUGUGAUUCCGGCUGUCAAGAAAAGCCGCUAUUGUGUGAUACAUGCCCGUACCGUAAACCGACACAGGUAGAUGAGGAGAGAAUCCUAAGGCCGGCGGGAGAAGCAUUGUUAAGGAACUCGGCAAAAUGACCCCGUAACUUCGGGAGAAGGGGUGCCACAGAGAUGUGGCCGCAGAGAAUAGGCUCAAGCAACUGUUUAGCAAAAACACAGGUCUAUGCAAAACCGUAAGGUGAGGUAUAUGGGCUGACGCCUGCCCGGUGCUGGAAGGUUAAGAGGAGAGGUUAGCGCAAGCGAAGCUUUGAAUUUAAGCCCCAGUAAACGGCGGCCGUAACUAUAACGGUCCUAAGGUAGCGAAAUUCCUUGUCGGGUAAGUUCCGACCCGCACGAAAGGCGUAAUGAUUUGAGCGCUGUCUCAACAAUGCACCCGGUGAAAUUGAAAUACCAGUGAAGAUGCUGGUUACCUGCGCCAGGACGGAAAGACCCCAUGGAGCUUUACUCCAGUUUGAUACUGGGAUUCGGUAUUGCAUGUACAGGAUAGGUGGGAGGCUUUGAAACAUGGACGCCAGUCUGUGUGGAGCCAAUGUUGGGAUACCACCCUUGCGAUAUUGGGUUUCUAACCUGCGCCCGUGACCCGGGCGGGGGACAAUGUCAGGCGGGGAGUUUGACUGGGGCGGUCGCCUCCGAAAGGGUAUCGGAGGCGCUCAAAGGUUCCCUCAGAAUGGUUGGAAACCAUUCGAAGAGUGCAAAGGCAGAAGGGAGCUUGACUGCGACACCGACGGGUGGAGCAGGUACGAAAGUAGGACUUAGUGAUCCGGUGGUAUGAAAGUGGGAUUGCCAUCGCUCAACGGAUAAAAGCUACCCUGGGGAUAACAGGCUUAUCACUCCCAAGAGUUCACAUCGACGGAGUGGUUUGGCACCUCGAUGUCGGCUCAUCGCAUCCUGGGGCUG
rnacentral:rRNA from 1 species